AUUGAACGCUGGCGGCAUGCCUUACACAUGCAAGUCGCACGGUCAGCGAUGGCAGUGGCGGACGGGUGAGGAACGCGUAGGGAUGUGUCCAUGGGUGGGGGAUAACGUUGGGAAACUGACGCUAAUACCGCAUGUCUGCUGAGGCAGAAAGCCGCGAGGCGCCUUUGGAGCAACCUGCGUCCGAUUAGGUAGUUGGUGGGGUAAUGGCUUACCAAGCCUGCGAUCGGUAGCUGGUCUGAGAGGACGACCAGCCACACUGGGACUGAGACACGGCCCAGACUCCUACGGGAGGCAGCAGUGGGGAAUAUUGGACAAUGGGCGAAAGCCUGAUCCAGCAAUGCCGCGUGAGUGAAGAAGGCCUCGGUUGUAAG
rnacentral:rRNA from 1 species